ACUCCUGCGGGAGGCAGCAGUGGGGAAUUUUGGACAAUGGGCGAAAGCCUGAUCCAGCCAUGCCGCGUGCAGGAUGAAGGCCUUCGGGUUGUAAACUGCUUUUGUACGGAACGAAACGGCCUUUUCUAAUAAAGAGGGCUAAUGACGGUACCGUAAGAAUAAGCACCGGCUAACUACGUGCCAGCAGCCGCGGUAAUACGUAGGGUGCAAGCGUUAAUCGGAAUUACUGGGCGUAAAGCGUGCGCAGGCGGUUAUGUAAGACAGUUGUGAAAUCCCCGGGCUCAACCUGGGAACUGCAUCUGUGACUGCAGAGCUAGAGUACGGUAGAGGGGGAUGGAAUUCCGCGUGUAGCAGUGAAAUGCGUAGAUAUGCGGAGGAACACCGAUGGCGAAGGCAAUCCCCUGGACCUGUACUGACGCUCAUGCACGAAAGCGUGGGGAGCAAACAGGAUUAGAAACCCCAGUAGUCCCAUGAU
rnacentral:rRNA from 1 species